AGAGUUUGAUCAUGGCUCAGAGCGAACGCUGGCGGCAGGCCUAACACAUGCAAGUCGAGCGCCCCGCAAGGGGAGCGGCAGACGGGAGAGUAACACGUGGGAACGUACCCUUUGGUUCGGAACAACCCAGGGAAACUUGGGCUAAUACCGGAUAAGCCCUUACGGGGAAAGAUUCAUCGCCGAAGGAUCGGCCCGCGUCUGAUUAGCUAGUUGGUGGGGUAACGGCCCACCAAGGCGACGAUCAGUAGCUGGUCUGAGAGGAUGAUCAGCCUCACUGGGACUGAGACACGGCCCAGACUCCUACGGGAGGCAGCAGUGGGGAAUAUUGGACAAUGGGCGCAAGCCUGAUCCAGCCAUGCCGCGUGGGUGAUGAAGGCCCUAGGGUUGUAAAGCCCUUUCGGCGGGGAAGAUAAUGACGGUACCCGCAGAAGAAGCCCCGGCUAACUUCGUGCCAGCAGCCGCGGUA
rnacentral:rRNA from 1 species